GCUUGCAUCAUGAUUUACAUUUGAGUGAGUGGCGAACUGGUGAGUAACACGUGGGAAACCUGCCCAGAAGCGGGGGAUAACACCUGGAAACAGAUGCUAAUACCGCAUAACAACUUGGACCGCAUGGUCCGAGCUUGAAAGAUGGCUUCGGCUAUCACUUUUGGAUGGUCCCGCGGCGUAUUAGCUAGAUGGUGGGGUAACGGCUCACCAUGGCAAUGAUACGUAGCCGACCUGAGAGGGUAAUCGGCCACAUUGGGACUGAGACACGGCCCAAACUCCUACGGGAGGCAGCAGUAGGGAAUCUUCCACAAUGGACGAAAGUCUGAUGGAGCAACGCCGCGUGAGUGAAGAAGGGUUUCGGCUCGUAAAACUCUGUUGUUAAAGAAGAACAUAUCUGAGAGUAACUGUUCAGGUAUUGACGGUAUUUAACCAGAAAGCCACGGCUAACUACGUGCCAGCAGCCGCGGUAAUACGUAGGUGGCAAGCGUUGUCCGGAUUUAUUGGGCGUAAAGCGAGCGCAGGCGGUUUUUUAAGUCUGAUGUGAAAGCCUUCGGCUCAACCGAAGAAGUGCAUCGGAAACUGGGAAACUUGAGUGCAGAAGAGGACAGUGGAACUCCAUGUGUAGCGGUGAAAUGCGUAGAUAUAUGGAAGAACACCAGUGGCGAAGGCGGCUGUCUGGUCUGUAACUGACGCUGAGGCUCGAAAGUAUGGGUAGCAAACAGGAUUAGAUACCCUGGUAGUCCAUACCGUAAACGAUGAAUGCUAAGUGUUGGAGGGUUUCCGCCCUUCAGUGCUGCAGCUAACGCAUUAAGCAUUCCGCCUGGGGAGUACGGCCGCAAGGCUGAAACUCAAAGGAAUUGACGGGGGCCCGCACAAGCGGUGGAGCAUGUGGUUUAAUUCGAAGCUACGCGAAGAACCUUACCAGGUCUUGACAUACUAUGCAAAUCUAAGAGAUUAGACGUUCCCUUCGGGGACAUGGAUACAGGUGGUGCAUGGUUGUCGUCAGCUCGUGUCGUGAGAUGUUGGGUUAAGUCCCGCAACGAGCGCAACCCUUAUUAUCAGUUGCCAGCAUUAAGUUGGGCACUCUGGUGAGACUGCCGGUGACAAACCGGAGGAAGGUGGGGAUGACGUCAAAUCAUCAUGCCCCUUAUGACCUGGGCUACACACGUGCUACAAUGGAUGGUACAACGAGUUGCGAACUCGCGAGAGUAAGCUAAUCUCUUAAAGCCAUUCUCAGUUCGGAUUGUAGGCUGCAACUCGCCUACAUGAAGUCGGAAUCGCUAGUAAUCGCGGAUCAGCAUGCCGCGGUGAAUACGUUCCCGGGCCUUGUACACACCGCCCGUCACACCAUGAGAGUUUGUAACACCCAAA
rnacentral:rRNA from 1 species